GACGAACGCUGGCGGCGUGCCUAAUACAUGCAAGUUGAGCGAUGAAGCUUGGUGCUUGCCCCAAUUUGAAGAGCAGCGAACGGGUGAGUAACGCGUGGGGAAUCUGCCUUUGAGCGGGGGACAACAUUUGGAAACGAAUGCUAAUACCGCAUAAAAACUUUAAACAUAAGUUUUAAGUUUGAAAGAUGCAUUUGCAUCACUCAAAGAUGAUCCCGCGUUGUAUUAGCUAGUUGGUGAGGUAAAGGCUCACCAAGGCGAUGAUACAUAGCCGACCUGAGAGGGUGAUCGGCCACAUUGGGACUGAGACACGGCCCAAACUCCUACGGGAGGCAGCAGUAGGGAAUCUUCGGCAAUGGACGAAAGUCUGACCGAGCAACGCCGCGUGAGUGAAGAAGGUUUUCGGAUCGUAAAACUCUGUUGGUAGAGAAGAACGUUGGUGAGAGUGGAAAGCUCAUCAAGUGACGGUAACUACCCAGAAAGGGACGGCUAACUACGU
rnacentral:rRNA from 1 species